AUUGAACGCUGGCGGCAUGCCUUACACAUGCAAGUCGAACGGCAGCGGGGGAGAAGCUCGCUUUUCCUGCCGGCGAGUGGCGAACGGGUGAGUAAUACAUCGGAACGCGCCCUGUAGUGGGGGAUAACUAGUCGAAAGAUCAGCUAAUACCGCAUAAGACCAGAGGUUGAAGGUGGGGGACCGCAAGGUCUAAUGUCAUAGUAGGGGCCGGGUUCUGAUUAGCUAGUUGGUGGGGUAAAGGCCUACCAAGGCGACGAUCAGUAGCUGGUCUGAGAGGACGAUCAGCCACACUGGGACUGAGACACGGCCCAGACUCCUACGGGAGGCAGCAGUGGGGAAUUUUGGACAAUGGGCGAAAGCCUGAUCCAGCAAUGCCGCGUGUGUGAAGAAGGCCUUCGGGUUGUAAAGCACUUUUGUCCGGAAAGAAAUGGCUCUGGUUAAUACCUGGGGUCGAUGACGGUACCGGAAGAAUAAGGACCGGCUAACUACGUGCCAGCCGCCGCCGUAACAC
rnacentral:rRNA from 1 species